GUUGGAGUGUAUGGAAUGUUGGAGUGUAAGGAAUGUUGAAGUGUAAGGAAUACUGAAGUGUAAGGAAUGUUGGAGUGUAAGGAAUGUUGGAGUGUAAGGAAUGUUGGAGUGUAAGGAAUGUUGAAGUGUAAGGAAUGUUGGGAUGUAAGGAAUGUUGAAGUGUAAGGAAUGUUGGAGUGUAAGGAAUGUUGGAGUGUAAGGAAUACUGAAGUGUAAGGAAUGUUGGAGUGUAAGGAAUACUGUAGUGUAAGGAAUGUUGAAGUGUAAGGAAUGUUGGAGUGUAAGGAAUACUGUAGUGUAAGGAAUGUUGAAGUGUAAGGAAUGUUGAAGUGUAAGGAAUACUGAAGUGUAAGGAAUACUGAUGUGUAAGGAAUACUGAAGUGUAAGGAAUGUUGGAGUGUAAGGAAUACUGUAGUGUAAGGAAUGUUGAAGUGUAAGGAAUGUUGGAGUGUAAGGAAUGUUGGAGUGUAAGGAAUGUUGGGUUGUAUGGAAUACACUAAAGUUUCUGGUAUACUAAAGUGUCUGAGAACGAGUGUUCGGGCCGAGGCCCGAGGAGUCAGGAGGAUGUCAGAUCUUUACAGUGCUCUUUUAAUGAGAGACGAAGGAUGAGAACUUUAAAGAAUAGAGUGAAGAGAUUUUUGUUCAAGGCUAAUUCAUGCUAAUCUGGGCUGGAAAUAACUCCGAGGUCUGUAACGGGGAAAGUCGAAGGUCUAAUGGUUUCCUCAGGAAGUGAGACAGUGGCUCCGUCCCAAACGCUACAUUUAUCACUAAUUAGGGACUGGAUUUGGAUCAAAAUCACAAAACACGAGCAGUAAGAAGAGCUUUUGGCGUCCCGUUGAUUCAAAGACCAGCCAAUGUCACACAGUCUUAAUGAAAUGCACUGAGAUGAAUAAGCGUCACUUUAUUCAAUUCAUAAACAUUUAAUAACCGACCGGGACGUGC
ensembl:lncRNA